GCCAAUCAGCAGCAGACCCUCCCUCCCAGACCCUCCACCUCCUGGACAGCUCACUAAGAAUGCAGCUUCACAAUGAAUGUAAAAUGGAUGCUGUCCAGGAGGUGGGAGGGUCUGGGAGGGAGGGUCUGCUGCUGGAAUGUG